CUACGGGGGGCAGCAGUGGGGAAUUUUGGACAAUGGGGGCAACCCUGAUCCAGCCAUGCCGCGUGAGUGAAGAAGGCCUUCGGGUUGUAAAGCUCUUUCAGCCGGGAAGAAAUCGCAUGGGCCAAUACCCUGUGCGGAUGACGGUACCGGAAUAAGAAGCACCGGCUAACUACGUGCCAGCAGCCGCGGUAAUACGUAGGGUGCGAGCGUUAAUCGGAAUUACUGGGCGUAAAGCGUGCGCAGGCGGAUGCUUAAGUCAGAUGUGAAAUCCCCGGGCUUAACCUGGGAAUUGCAUUUGAAACUGGGUGUCUAGAGUGCGUCAGAGGGGGGUGGAAGUCCACGUGUAGCAGUGAAAUGCGUAGAUAUGUGGAGGAACACCAAUGGCGAAGGCAGCCCCCUGGGAUGACACUGACGCUCAUGCACGAAAGCGUGGGGAGCAAACAGGAUUAGAUACCCUAGUAGUC
rnacentral:rRNA from 1 species